UACGAAGGGGGCUAGCGUUGUUCGGAAUUACUGGGCGUAAAGGGCUCGUAGGCGGCCAACUAAGUCAGACGUGAAAUCCCUCAGCUUAACUGGGGAACUGCGUCUGAUACUGGAUGGCUUGGAUUCGGGAGAGGGAUGCGGAAUUCCAGGUGUAGCGGUGAAAUGCGUAGAUAUCUGGAGGAACACCGGUGGCGAAGGCGGCAUCCUGGACCGAUAUUGACGCUGAGGAGCGAAAGCUAGGGGAGCAAACGGG
rnacentral:rRNA from 1 species